rnacentral:lncRNA from 10 species
GGGAGAGUCUAUUUGGUCCACCCAUGCUCCCAGGAGUUACGUGCAAGCUGCUCCAGGAAUACAUUUACAGUUGCCUGCCUCAAGGCUGAGAUGGGAGAAGCAGGUUUUGGUAUUUAAAAAAGAAAAGUUCUCAGAGACCUAUGAAGAGACUUAAAUUACCAACAAUAAUAGCAGGAGACUUCAACAUCCCACGGAGAGUAGUAGAUCAUUGAGGCACAUAACUAACAGUUUUUUGGUACAUAAAUUCAACUCUUGUCCAAAUGGACCUAAGAGGCAUCUGCAGAACACUGUACCCAACAACAAUAGAAUAUACAUUCUUAUUAUCUGCAAACAGCACAUAUUCUAAGAUCAGCCACACACUUGGCCAUAAGACAAUUAUCAGAAAAAAUACAAAAUAUGAAAUCAUACCAACUACUUUCUUGGACAGGAGCACAAAAAUCAUAUAAAUCAAUGCUAAGAGAAUUGCUCAAAACCAUACAAUUACAUGGAAAUUAAACAACCUGCUCCUAAAUGGCUUCUGGGUAAAUAAAGACAUUAAGGCAGAAAUCAAGAAAAUUAUUCGAAACUAAUGAUAAUAAAGACACAACAUGCCAGAAUCUCUGGGACACAGCUUACAGAGUGUUAAGAGAAAGGUUUACAGCAGUAUAUGCCUAUAUCAAAAAGUUUGAAAGAUCUCAAAUUAAAACCUAACAUCACAACAAGAGGAACUUGAAAAACAAGAGCAAAACAACCAGAAAGCUAGCAGAAGAAAAGAAGUAACUGAAAUCAGAGUUGAAUGAAAUUGAGAUGCAAAAAUCCAUCCAAAAGAUGAAUGAAAACAUAAGUUGGUUCUUUGAGAGAAUAAACAAGAUCGAUAGACCUUUAGCUAAAGGAAUAAAGAGAAAAAGGAGAAGAUCAAGAUAAACACAAUCAGAAAUGGCAAAGAUGACAUUACUACUAACCACAAAGAAAUACAAAAAAUCCUCAGAGACUAUUAAAAUUACCUCUAUGAACACAAACUAGAAAACAUAGAAGAAAUGAAUAAAUUCCUGGAAAUACACAAGCUCCCAAGAUUGAAACAGGAAGAAAUUGAAAUCCUGGCCAGAAAAAUAAUGAAUUUCAAAACUGAAUCAAUAAUAAAAAGCCUCCCAACUAAAAAGCCCUGGAAGAGACAGAUUCACAGUUGUAUUCUAGCAGACAUACAAAGAAGAGCUGGUACCAAUUCUACUGAAAUUAUUCCCCCCCCAAAAAAAAUGAGGGACUUCUCUCUAACACAUUUUACUAGGCCAGCAGCAUUCUGAUACUAAAAUGUAAGUUCUAAAAUGAGAAUUUUUGUAUUUUCUGGUAUAAUAUACUAUACUAUCUAUGCCUAGAAAGCUUCCAGAAACACCAUACACACUUAAUAAAUAUGUGAAAAUGAAUGAAUAAAAAUGAUGGUUCACCACCUUCUCCCUUGCUUUCCUCUUUCAGAAGAACUAAAAAAUGAAUAUUCAUUUUUCCUAGCUACAUUUCAGUGUGGUAUGAGCUUAUUGUGUCUCUUGUAAGUGAGAUAUGUAUGGAUGUUUUGUAGGAAGGGAUUCCUUCCCAAAUAAAAGGUAAAUUUCUUACAGAAAAGGAUAUGGAAUUUAUGACUUUUUUCUUGCCUAGAAUGAGAAUGUGAAAUAUGGAGACUAAGCAAUUAUCUUUUGAUUUUAAAGAGAUAAAAACACAUGAAGGAUGAGGGAAAAGCAAGAGAAAAAAGUCAAAAUUGGUGAUGGUAUUUUUCAGCUGCUGUCAUAGCCUUUGACUCUCUACCCCUGAACUUCCCACAGGUAAAAUAUAAAACCCCAUGUGGGGUUUAAACUGUACUUAAAUUACGGCUGACUGCUUUCAUUAUGUUUUGAACACAUUUCUAAUAGAAACAGAAUGUAAAGCCAUAAUAAGAGUCAAGACAAGAUAGAUCAUAUUAUUAAAUAAACCUUUCUUUCUUUCAUGGGUUCCCACUGCCCAUUCAAAGCUAGUACUUUUGUUGUGCUUCUUUCUAGGCAUAUGACAUUUUAUCCAGAGAAACCCAAAUGUCUACAUCUUAUUCUGUACUCCUUAGCAGAAAUACAUAUUGACUGCUAUUUUUUCUAACUCCUCAUCUACAUAGCUAUUUUUUUAAAAUCUAAUAAUUGCAUUCAUGAUAGUGAAUUAUGAUCAGUAAUAACCCCUUCAUAACCUCAUGGGCAUUUGUAUUUUAGUGGGGAAAUAGUCAUUUGUCAG